AGUGAACGCUGGCGGUAGGCCUAACACAUGCAAGUCGAGCGGCGGCACAGUAAGAGCUUGCUAUUACGGAGGGCGAGUGGCGGACGAGUGAGGAGUACAGCGGAAGCUACUGUGUCGGGGGGGAUAACGGAGGGAAACUGACGCUAAUACCUCAUACGACCUACGGUAGAAAGCAGGGGAGCUUGGGACCUUGCGAGCAUGAAUGAGCCGAUGUCGGAUUAGCUAGUUGGCGGGGUAAAGGCCGGCCAAGGCAACGUUCCGUAGCUGGUCUGAGAGGAUGAUCACCCCCACUGGAACUGGGACCCGGUCCAGCCCCCUCCGGGAGCCACCGGUGGGGAAUAUUGGACAUGGGGCGCAAGCCUAAUCCAGCACUCCCGCGUGGGUGAAGAGGGCCUUCGGUUUUUAAAGCCCUUUUGUUGGGAAAGACAAGCAGCAGGUUAAUACCCCGCUGUUGUGACGGUACCCACAGAAUAAGCACCGGCUAACUUCGUG
rnacentral:rRNA from 1 species